UUUUUUUUCUCUGACGCUGACGCUGGGACCCGCCAGGUCAUCUCCUUCCUCCACUCGAACUCCCCUUCCUGUACGAACCAAUCUGCCCUUCCUGUACGAGAGCGCCGCUGCUGCCGAACCAACCUGCCCUCGAUUCGGCCAGAUCCCUAACCCCCGAUCCGAUUCAUGGACACCAGACGGUCCCUCUUGCUCCUCUAGUCCGAUUCCCGCAAACCGCUGCUUAAUUUCCCCCUCGGAACGGCGCCCAGAUCUCGCCGGAGUCCGCCGCCGCCGGAAGCUCUUCCGCCGGCCGAAAUCGUCGCCACCGCGGGUCCCCCAGCACCUCGUGUUCCCCCUGUAGUGUUCCCCUUGUUUCCCUCUAGCUCCCUCAUCUUCUAGUUCUCGCAGGGAAGCGCCGUACCGAGCACAUCGAGCUCGCCCCGACGAAGACCCCACUGCCCGAGCUCCAGCCACCGCUGCCCGAGGGAGCUACCUUCACCACCGACGACCCCAUCAUCCUCACUGUUGAACUCCGUGUCCGCCAGUCAACUCUACUUCGCCGGAGUACGACCGGAGGAGUGCCGCCGCGGCGCCGCCCACGCCCGAACUUGCCGCCAUCGUUUUCUUCAAGCUCACGUACAUGCAAUUGCUGUUUGACCGGGAGGCGAGCGAAAACUACAGAAAGAGGCGAACAAAAAUAGCCCCGGGAAUGAAGAUGAACACGGGAUUGGAAUUGCACGCUAGAAAUGUUGGAGAAGUAAUCCAUUCGGCUGGCUAAAAUGAAUGAGCGGUCAAUGUGGGGUACUUUGCCGCCGCGUGUAAACGUAGGCCUGUGCGUCCUGUGGCACAUUUUUUUAGGGGUUCGUCCUGUGGCACAUGCAGUAGCGGAGCUACACAAUUUUUGUUGGACGGGCCAAGCUGAAGGGACGCAUUGUUUUUCUCCCACAUGAUCUAACUUUUGCCUUCAUUAUUCACUGUUUUGGUCGUGGAUUGGGCGGGCCACGGUCAUGUUUUGUUUCAACUAAGCUCCGCCACUGGGCACAUGUGUGUGCAGAACCCCAACGCCGUUUUCCACGAAACGUCGUUAGUUAGCACGUGGGCCCAGCUGUGCCGUACACGAUCGAAACAAUAUGAUUUACACACAACCUAUACACCAGAAAAUACGGGAGGUGGCCCAUAUCGCGAAGCAGACGAGUGCCCACCGAUUCCGUGAGCAGGCGAGCUCGUCCGCUCUUAUGUAUUUCCGGCUAUGUGCUAUUCAGUUUGUAAUACUUUAUAAAUUCUGGAUCAAACGUUAUAGUAAAUGAUACACUUGUUACUUUGGUAUUUAUAUGUACUGUGUGUGUUAGCAAGUCGAUUAAGGGACUAGCACAGUAAGUACAGAGACAUCAAAUUUUAUCAGGUUCGGGUCAUUACACCUUUUUUGGCAACUUAGCAUUUUUGUCUGGCAACCAAGCAUGUUUAAACCUGCUAACUAAACACCCUAAGUAUGUGACAACUAAGCAUACUAAACUUUUCUGGAAACUAAGCAUUUUUAUAGUCUGGCAACUAAGCAUGUUUAAAUUCGGUAACUAAAUUCCCUAAGUAUUUGGUAACUAAAUAAUGUCUGGCAACUAAGUAUGUUUAAAUCCGGUAACUAAAUACCCUAAGUAUUCGGUAACUAAAAAAUGUAUGGCAACUAAGUAUGUUUAAAUCCAGUAAGUAAAUACCCGAAGUAUCUGGUAACUAAAAGAUAUCUAGCAGCUAAAAGCAUUUUUGUAAUUUUGAAAUAAGUAGUACAUUUCACUUGGUAACUAUGUAUUUUUAAAAUUGACAACAGAGUUUUUUGUAAUCUGGCAACUAAGCAUGUUAAUUUUUUUGGCAACUAAAUACUUUUUAUAUGUGGCAAAUAAGUACUUUCAA